CUAGCUGGUCUGAGAGGAUGACCAGCCACACUGGAACUGAGACACGGUCCAGACUCCUACGGGAGGCAGCAGUGGGGAAUAUUGCACAAUGGGCGCAAGCCUGAUGCAGCCAUGCCGCGUGUAUGAAUGUACGGGUACCGUAGAGUUCCGGGGCGUGCAGGCCGAUCUCGGCGAAGUCGUGGCCUGGCGCAAUAUGUUCUGGGCAUUGAGCGAU
rnacentral:rRNA from 1 species